rnacentral:rRNA from 1 species
CCCUUAGAUGCUCUGGGCCGCACGCGCGCUACACUGAACGGAUCAGCGCGUUUUCCCUUCCCGAGAGGGACGGGUAACCUGCUGAACCCCGUUCGUGGUAGGGAUCGGGGCUUGCAAUUAUUCCCCGUGAACCAGGAAUGCCCAGUAAGUGCAAGUCAUAAGCUUGCGUUGAUUACGUCCCUGCCCUUUGUACACACCGCCCGUCGCUACUACCGAUUGAACGUUUUAGUGAGGUACUCGGACUGAGCCUCAGAAGAUUCACGUCUUUUGUGCUGCUCGGGAAGAUUCCCAAACUUGAGCGUUUAGAGGAAGUAAAAGUCGUAACA